rnacentral:rRNA from 1 species
UUUACUAUUGGAGCGGUUAGUGGCGGACUGGUGAGUAACACGUAAGCAACCUGCCUAUCAGAGGGGAACAACAGUUAGAAAUGACUGCUAAUACCGCAUAUGCCUUGAGUAUCACAUGGUACAAUAGGGAAAGGAGCAAUCCGCUGAAAGAUGGCCUCGCGUCUGAUUAGAUAGUUGGUGGGGUAACGGCCUACCAAGUCGACGAUCAGUAGCCGGACUGAGAGGUUGAACGGCCACAUUGGGACUGAGAUACGGCCCAGACUCC